CUUACAGUUCCACAUGGAGGAAAUCAAGAUUGCAUUCCUUUCUGGAGGCUCUGGAGAAGACUCAGCUUUCUCAUUCAGGCAAGGUCUCGGCCAUGUGGAUUUCGAGCUACAUGGAUUAUGACAUCAAUUGCAUCUUGAUCCAGCACCACCUCAGAAUUCAGCGACAGAUUUAGAAGCCUACAAAGCCUCUUGUCUGCUGCUAAUGAAGCCACCAUGAAUAAAACCUAAUGCUGUUUAGAAGGAAUGAGCAGCUUUUUGUACGUAUGUGUCAGUUUCCCCUUCUGGAAAAUGGGGAUAAUAAUUCCUUACAGGGAUGUUACAGUGAUUAAAUGAGAUGUUGUCCAGUGCUUAGCACAGGGCCUGGUGUAUAUAAAGGGUUUGGCAGGGGCUUUAUCUCCACAAUGUGCACUGCCCAGUGCUGGGAAAAUAGCAAAUUGUUCUCAAUAUUUGAUAAUGACACUCCUCCUCCUCAUUAUUUUUAUUGCUAUUAUUAUCGAAAUGGAGUAACAACCAUCUUUCCCAAAUGAGUAAUGGAAUUUUUAAAAAGCAAUAGUAAAAAUAAGAAUCUCACUGAAAGUGAAUGAGUAAUUUAUUGAAAAACAUGAUUGAUAAUAAGUCUCGUUUAAAGCAUUAUAAUAAAAUACACUUUUAUAAUCCCACCUAACUUUACUAGUAUACUUGUCAAUCAAAUAUAGUACCACUAAACUCAUAAAAACUCUGGCAACCAGGAGGAAUACGGUUUCUAGAAAUCUCUACAAUGCUCCCUAGCAAAGAGGGGACAGAAUCCCAAGUGAAACGCAUAGCCAGUGAUGGGUGGAAAGAUCACUAGGAAGCAAUGCUGUUUGCUAGGCACCUUUCAUGCUGAAGCUAGGGUGGUUCUGUUUCUAGGGAGCUCCCUCACUUGUGCCCGAACAGCAUUUGCAUUCCCACUGAACCUUAAGUAUAACCAAAAGAAAUAGGAAAAUCCCGAAAC